GUGUGUGUGUGUUUUGGUCACCACUGCCUCCUCAGCAUAGCACUGUGCUUGGCACAUUAGAUUGGGUCUCAGCCUGUCACCUUGGAUGGAGUACAGUGAUGCCGUCAUAGCUUACUGAAGCCUUGAACAUCUGGGCUCAAGCAAUCUUCUUGCCCCAGCCUCCCAAGUAGCUGAGACUACAGGUGUGCAUCACCACACCUGGCUAUUUUGUUUUUUAAAUUUUUUGAGAAGGAGGGUUGGGGGUGUCUCACUAUGUUGCCCAGGGCUCACCUCAAACUCUUGGACUCAAACAAACCUCCUGCCUUAGCCUCCUAAGUAGUUGAGAUUAUUGGUGCGCACCAUCACAACUGUUUUACAUUGUAAGCAUUUAAUAC
rnacentral:lncRNA from 10 species